CUACGGGGGGCUCCAGUGGGGAAUCUUGGACAAUGGGCGCAAGCCUGAUCCAGCCAUGCCGCGUGAGUGAAGAAGGCCUUAGGGUCGUAAAGCUCUUUCGCCAGAGAUGAUAAUGACAGUAUCUGGUAAAGAAACCCCGGCUAACUCCGUGCCAGCAGCCGCGGUAAUACGGAGGGGGUUAGCGUUGUUCGGAAUUACUGGGCGUAAAGCGCGCGUAGGCGGAUUAGUCAGUCAGAGGUGAAAUCCCAGGGCUCAACCCUGGAACUGCCUUUGAUACUGCUAGUCUUGAGUUCGAGAGAGGUGAGUGGAAUUCCGAGUGUAGAGGUGAAAUUAGUAGAUAUUCGGAGGAACACCAGUGGCGAAGGCGGCUCACUGGCUCGAUACUGACGCUGAGGUGCGAAAGUGUGGGGAGCAAACAGGAUUAGAUACCCCUGUAGUC
rnacentral:rRNA from 1 species